rnacentral:rRNA from 1 species
AGAGUUUGAUCCUGGCUCAGAACGAACUUCUGGCGGCAUGCCUAACACAUGCAAGUCGAACGAGACCUUCGGGUCUAGUGGCGCACGGGUGCGUAACGCGUGGGAAUCUGCCCUUGGGUUCGGAACAACAGUUGGAAACGACUGCUAAUACCGGAUGAUGACUUCGGUCCAAAGAUUUAUCGCCCAGGGAUGAGCCCGCGUCGGAUUAGCUAGUUGGUGAGGUAAAGGCUCACCAAGGCGACGAUCCGUAGCUGGUCUGAGAGGAUGAUCAGCCACACUGGGACUGAGACACGGCCCAGACUCCUACGGGAGGCAGCAGUGGGGAAUAUUGGACAAUGGGCGAAAGCCUGAUCCAGCAAUGCCGCGUGAGUGAUGAAGGCCUUAGGGUUGUAAAGCUCUUUUACCCGGGAUGAUAAUGACAGUACCGGGAGAAUAAGCCCCGGCUAACUCCGUGCCAGCAGCCGCGGUAAUACGGAGGGGGCUAGCGUUGUUCGGAAUUACUGGGCGUAAAGCGCGCGUAGGCGGCUUUGUAAGUUAGAGGUGAAAGCCCGGAGCUCAACUCCGGAACUGCCUUUAAGACUGCAUCGCUAGAACGAUGGAGAGGUAAGUGGAAUUCCGAGUGUAGAGGUGAAAUUCGUAGAUAUUCGGGAAGAACACCAGUGGCGAAGGCGACUUACUGGACAUCUGUUGACGCUGAGGUGCGAAAGCGUGGGGAGCAAACAGGGAUUAGAUACCCCCCGUAGUCCAAUCACUAGUUGAAAU